rnacentral:rRNA from 1 species
UACGGGGGGAGCAAGCGUUGUUCGGAUUUACUGGGCGUAAAGGGCGCGUAGGCGGCCAGCACAAGUCAGUUGUGAAAUCUCCGAGCUUAACUCGGAAAGGUCAACUGAUACUGUGCGGCUAGAGUGCGGAAGGGGCAACUGGAAUUCUUGGUGUAGCGGUGAAAUGCGUAGAUAUCAAGAGGAACACCUGCGGCGAAGGCGGAUUGCUGGGCCGACACUGACGCUGAGGCGCGAAAGCUAGGGGAGCGAACGGG